UACAGAGGGGGCAAGCGUUGUUCGGAAUUACUGGGCGUAAAGGGCGCGUAGGCGGCCUUCUAAGUCGAACGUGAAAUCCCCGGGCUCAACCCGGGAAACUGCGUCCGAUACUGGGAAGGCUUGAAUCCGGGAGAGGGAUGCGGAAUUCCAGGUGUAGCGGUGAAAGUGCGUAGAUAUCUGGAGGAAUACCGGUGGCGAAGGACGGCAUCCUGGACCGG
rnacentral:rRNA from 1 species